UACGAAGGGGGCUAGCGGUGUUCGGAAUCACUGGGCGUAAAGAGCACGCAGGCGGAUCGAUAAGUCGGGGGUGAAAGCCCGGGGCUCAACCUCGGAAUUGCCUUCGAUACUGUCGGUCUCGAGUCCGGGAGAGGUGAGUGGAAUUCCUAGUGUAGAGGUGAAAUUCGUAGAUAUUAGGAAGAACACCAGUGGCGAAGGCGGCUCACUGGCCCGGUACUGACGCUCAGGUUCGAAAUCGUGUGGAGCAAACAGG
rnacentral:rRNA from 1 species